UACGUAGGGGGCAAGCGUUGUCCGGAGUUAUUGGGCGUAAAGGGCGCGUAGGCGGUUUCUUAAGUUUGAAGUGACAGUGGGUGGCUUAACUACCCAAGGCCUUUGAAAACUGGGGAACUUGAGGACCAGAGAGGGACAUAGAAUUCCGGGUGGAGUGGUGAAAUGCGUAGAUAUCCGGAGGAAUACCAAAGGCGAAGGCAGUGUCCUGGAGGGUGACUGACGCUGAGGCGCGAAAGCUAGGGGAGCGAACAGG
rnacentral:rRNA from 1 species